GAUGAACGCUGGCGGCGUGCCUAACCCAUGUAAGUCGAGCGAUUCUGUUCGCAAGAGCAGAAGAGCGGCGGAAGGGUGAGUAACACGUAGGAGACCUACCUCAUCGCAGGGAACAACUUCGCGAAAGCGGAGCUAAUACCCAGAAGACUCGCACCUUCAGUGGUGCGAGGAGAGUGUCCCUGAAAAGGGGUGCGUGAUGAGAGGGUCCUGCGGCCCAUCAGCUGGUUGGUAGGGUAGUGGCCUACCAAGGCAACGACGGGUAGGGGGUCUGAGAGGACGAUCCCCCACACUGGAACUGAAACACGGUCCAGACGCCUACGGGUGGCAGCAGGGAGGAAUAAUUGGGCAAUGGACGCAAGUCUGACCCAGCAACGCCGCGUGAAGGAUGAAGGCC
rnacentral:rRNA from 1 species